CACCGCGGUUAUACGAGGGGCCCAAGUUGAUAACCUCGGCGUAAAGUGUGGCUAAGAGAUUAUUUCUCCUAUAUAGGGCCGAACAGACUCAAAGCAGUUAUACGCACCCGAGACUAUGAAGUUCAAACACGAAAGUAGCCCUAUUUUACUUCUGACCCCACGAAAACUAUAAAA
rnacentral:rRNA from 2 species